rnacentral:rRNA from 1 species
UACGGGGGGAGCAAGCGUUGUUCGGAUUUACUGGGCGUAAAGGGCGCGUAGGCGGCCAGCACAAGUCAGUUGUGAAAUCUCCGAGCUUAACUCGGAAAGGUCAACUGAUACUGUGCGGCUAGAGUGCGGAAGGGGCAACUGGAAUUCUUGGUGCAGCGGUGAAAUGCGUAGAUAUCAAGAGGAACACCUGCGGCGAAGGCGGGUUGCUGGGCCGACACUGACGCUGAUGCGCGAAAGCCAGGGGAGCGAACGGG